UACGUAGGGGGCUAGCGUUGUCCGGAAUCAUUGGGCGUAAAGAGCGUGUAGGCGGUCCGGUAAGUCCGCUGUGAAAGUCGGGGGCUCAACCCUCGAAUGCCGGUGGAUACUGUCGGGCUAGAGUACGGAAGAGGCGAGUGGAAUUCCUGGUGUAGCGGUGAAAUGCGCAGAUAUCGGGAGGAACACCAAUGGCGAAGGCAGCUCGCUGGGACGUUACUGACGCUGAGACGCGAAAGCGUGGGGAGCGAACAGG
rnacentral:rRNA from 1 species